UACAAACUCAUCAGAGGGAGCCUCAUCCAGGUGGCCUGAAGGUGACCCCACAGCUGCCUCCACUUCCCUCAACCCACCUGAGGAUUUCUGGGCCUUGCUCCUUAUGGAUUUUGACCUCAGGGACAGGAGCAGACCUCUUCACCUAGAAUCCUCCAGAGCACCCAUGCCGGUGUCUGCACCAAGGAAGCAAUGAAGAAUGAAGAACAGAUAUGGGGAGAAUGCAGUUUUGACUCCUCAGGGAGGACACAUUCAGGCUAGCCUGUUGGAGGACGUGGGACCUGGGAGAGCCACGUGUCCCAGUCACGUGAGUGAGACCAGCCUGUAGCAGAAGGACCAUCCAGCAAAGUUCAGCCAAAAUCACUGACCCUCAGAUGCCCAAUGUGCAUCCAAAAGCACUUACCAUUCAACCUGAGGUGAAGCACAAGAUGGCAGUAGACAUCCUGACAGCCAUUCUGAUUUAUCGAUACACUCAUCUCUAUUCCUACACUAAAAAUAUCUGCAAGUUUACAACCUUCUUCUGAUCAGUAAAUAUAAGGAUUUGGGCUAAUUGGAUAUCUGACGACAUUCAACUCCAAGAUUCUGUGAGACUCUGUUUCCAUGGUGCUGGGGUUCUAAUAUUCCAUAGCACAGGAAAAUCACUUUUCAGAGACAUCUACAGGCAGUCCCACUGUCCUGUCUUGAACCUCCUUAGCCAAAGACUGAACAUGGCUGGAAUGGGAUAUGUAAUGAAGAAGGGCACCUUCAGAGCAGACCCCAUGUACCUGCGGAAGGCCCUUGUGUAUAACCUCGGAGAGGAAAAGAGGACCAGGCUUCACAUUCAAAAACUCCAGAAGGUUUUAAAUAUCCAGCUCAGGGAGAUCGAUAGAGAAAAAGCAGCCCUGAAGAAAUUUUUGGUAAAGCUUCACAAGACAACUGGUUGUUUUCCUCGAGUGCAGUUCUGGUGACCGAUGCCUCUGUAGGUGAAGAGUUCAUCUAAAAGUUUCAUUACAGAAUACAUCUAAGUCUCCUUCUGUUAUCUCUGUGUGACCCAAGAAAGCAAUAUAAGCAACUUCUGGGACAAGCCAAAAAAGAAAAAAGACUAUACAAUUGAAGACACAAAUGGAAUGUGGAAUGUCUACAGUAGAAUCAACUGAUAUUUCCUACAGUAGAGAGAAUAAGACAUUGAUUUUUUCCAAAUGAUCCAUUUCUUUACAACUCGAGGUGGUAAAAUACAGUGUAUACAUUGUUUUCUUACAAACUUUCCUUGAGACAAGAACAAGCUUAGCUAUUUUAGAGAUUUCUGAUAUUGAUCAUGAAAUACAUAUUGUAUUUGCUUUAAUACUAUUUUUCUCAUCAAUAGAAAUUUCAAUUAUUUUUGUAUAGCUUUAAUAGCACGAAUAAAUAAAAGUUGAUGCUAAAUUUAAGAUGAAAGUAACACAGUAGUGGGAAAUUCAUAGAAUAGUGAGUCUAUAAGAGAACUCAGUUCAAAUCUAGGUUUUGUCAUGUAUUACCUGUGUGAUCUUAGGAUUAGAAACUCUUUUCUUUUAGUCAAGAUGGAGAUUAUAAUAUCUAUAUUAAAAAAUUGUUUUAAGGAUUAAGUAAGAUAAUAUAUAUACAAGGCAUAUUGCAGAUACCCCCCAAAUGGUAGUAGCUCUUAUUGUAAUUAUUGUUGUUUUCAUUAUUAUUUUUACCACUGUGUAAUAAAGCCCAGGUUGUAUUCCUAA